AACGAACGCUGGCGGCAGGCCUAACACAUGCAAGUCGAGCGAAGCCUUCGGGCUUAGCGGCGGUCGGGUGAGUAACGCGUGGGAACGUGCCCUUUGGUACGGAAUAGCCCCGGGAAACUGGGAGUAAUACCGUAUGUGGUCGAGAGACGAAAGAUUUAUCGCCAAAGGAUCGGCCCGCGUUGGAUUAGGUAGUUGGUGGGGUAAUGGCCUACCAAGCCGACGAUCCAUAGCUGGUUUGAGAGGAUGAUCAGCCACACUGGGACUGAGACACGGCCCAGACUCCUACGGGAGGCAGCAGUGGGGAAUCUUAGACAAUGGGGGAAACCCUGAUCUAGCCAUGCCGCGUGAUCGAUGAAGGCCUUAGGGUUGUAAAGAUCUUUCAGUGGGGAAGAUAAUGACUGUACCCACAGAAGAAGCCCCGGCUAACUCCGUGCCAGCCGCCGCUGUAAAAC
rnacentral:rRNA from 1 species